rfam:Cajanus cajan CcLG04_622, whole genome shotgun sequence.
ACCAAUGAUGUGGCAAUCCAACUUGCUAGGGGUUGUAGUUGAUCCAAGACCCUGUUUUCAGGGUGAACCUACUUGGUGUUACUACAUUUCCAAUAGCAUCUAGGAACAAUCUGAGGU